AUGAACGCUGGCGGCGUGCCUAAUACAUGCAAGUCGCGCGAACGGACGAGAAGCUUGCUUCUCUGAUGUUAGCGGCGGACGGGUGAGUAACACGUGGAUAACCUACCUAUAAGACUGGGAUAACUUCGGGAAACCGGAGCUAAUACCGGAUAAUAUUUUGAACCGCAUGGUUCAAAAGUGAAAGACGGUCUUGCUGUCACUUAUAGAUGGAUCCGCGCUGCAUUAGCUAGUUGGUAAGGUAACGGCUUACCAAGGCAACGAUGCAUAGCCGACCUGUGAGGGUGAUCGGCCACACUGGAACUGAGACACGGUCCAGACUCCUACGGGAGGCAGCAGUAGGGAAUCUUCCGCAAUGGGCGAAAGCCUGACGGAGCAACGCCGCGUGAGUGAUGAAGGUCUUCGGAUCGUAAAACUCUGUUAUUAGGGAAGAACAUAUGUGUAAGUAACUGUGCACAUCUUGACGGUACCUAAUCAGAAAGCCACGGCUAACUACGUG
rnacentral:rRNA from 1 species